rnacentral:antisense_RNA from 1 species
CUUGACCGUGCCCAGCCACAACGGCUCUUCCCGGUCCUGCCCGUAGGUCGCCAGCAGCGCCUGGGCCUC